GUAGGUGAACCUGCGGAAGGAUCAUUACUGAAUUGUCAAACGGGUUGUUGCUGGCCCUCAUAGGGGGCAUGUGCACGCUCUGUUUACACAUCCACUCACACCUGUGCACCCUCUGUAGUUCUAUGGUCUGGGGGACCCUGUCUUCCUUCUGUGGUUCUACGUCUCUACACACACACUGUAAUAAAGUUUUAUGGAAUGUACAUCGCGUCUAACGCAAUACAAUACAACUUUCAGCAACGGAUCUCUUGGCUCUC
rnacentral:misc_RNA from 1 species